rnacentral:rRNA from 1 species
AGUGAACGCUGGCGGUAGGCCUAACACAUGCAAGUCGAACGGCAGCACAGGAGAGCUUGCUCUCUGGGUGGCGAGUGGCGGACGGGUGAGGAAUACAUCGGAAUCUACCUUUUCGUGGGGGAUAACGUAGGGAAACUUACGCUAAUACCGCAUACGACCUACGGGUGAAAGUGGGGGACCGCAAGGCCCCACGCGAUUAG